GGUGGGAGAUGUUUAGGUGACUAUUGGUGACUAUUUGGUGACUAUUAGUCAUGGUGACUAUUUCUCCCCUCAUCUGGCCCUGCAGGAUUAUCCAGGGUGGUGUGCUGGACACCAUGAUAGAUGCCACGUUUUCCAUGAUGGCUUACAAUAGUGCCAACGCAGUCUUUACAGGAACCGUGAGCAUCACCUUCAAGAGGUCUGUUUUCUUGGGGUGCCUAGGUGGCUCAGUGAGCUCACUGCUCCAAGUUCCGCCAUUAAGUAAGUAUUGUUCCAAAGCCCUCGCUCAUCUGCUAAUGAGUAAUGCUUCUUUCAUGCGAUCUCAUACAUUUCCACAUCUCCAGGAUUGGAGACGAUAGGGGGACUCUGGGUUCCAGGGCUGGGAGUAUGGCAGAAGCAAAUACAGAGGAAGAAAACCUGGCAGGCAUCUACCACCCUUGAAAGCCAGCGCAUAUCUUCUGAGCCCAGGGCCAAGCCAAUGCACUUGCCUGUGGUGGGGUAGCCAGCGACAACAGGCUUUCAUUGUGGGUCCCACCUCUGCCCCAACCCCAGAGUGGCUAAGGGCUGCCUCUGAAAUACACCAAUCCACUGUUUCUCAAAAGUAGGAAUCCUUGCCCUAUGGGGGAAAAUGUAGCUGUUCUCUAAAAAGAAGUUUUAGCUUAGCCAUCAACACUGUACAAAGAAAAUGAGCCUCAUGCUUAGAACAAGAUAAGCAGAUUUAUGUUUUUUUUUUUUUUUUAAUGUUUAUGUUUUGCUUCAUCCCUUCUGGGGAUAAAGAGCUGCUUUCUUGCUUGUUCCUUGUGACUUAAUAGCACAGGAAUGAAGUCUUUAAAAACAGCAUCUUAAAAUAAAUAAUAAAAAUAAAAUAAAAUAAAAUAAAAACAGCAUCUUACUCCCUAAAUUUAUCAGUUUCUUCCCUGGCCUAGAUUUCCUGGGUGAAGAAUAGAUACUGGAAAGUAUUGGAAGCCUGUCACUAUGAAAAGCUUGAACUUUAUUCUUCAGAUAAUCAGGGACAUGGAAGGUAUGUGCCUGCUUUUUUCAAUAGGAGUUGCAGGAUCCCAGCAGCAGUACUUUUUCAACGGCUCCACCAGACUGGAAUAAUGGGAAGCUGGGAGACCAUACAGGUUAUUCCUAGAAUCCAGAGGAGAGGUAAACCAUAAUCUUAAAACGUCUAGACCACUGUGGUCUAAUAGAUAGGUAGUGUGAGCCAUCUGUGCAAUUUCUAAUAUUCUAGUAGCCAUAUUUUUCAGAAAAGGAAAAAAAUACAUAAAAUUAAUCUUAAUAAUAUAUUUCACCAAAUAUAUCCAAAAUAUCAUUUCAACAUGUAAUAACCAUUAUUAAUAAGCUAUUUUACCACAUUACUUAAAGUCUUAGAAAUGCAGUGUGUGGGGGCGCUUGGGUGAGUCAGUUGCUUAAGCCUGGGACUCUUGAUUCUCCACUGAGGUCAUGAUCUCCAGGGGUGAGUUUGAGCCCUUGGAGGGGGCUCCUCAUUGAAAAAGCCAACGGGUAAAGAUUGUGUGUCUCCUUGCGCACUUGUGCGCGCCCCCUCUUUCUCUCUUAAAAAAAAAAAGAAAAAAGAAAUGCAGUGUAUGGCCAAUUUACAGCACAUGGCAAAGUCGUUUAACAGAAAAAUAUUCCACAUUGCUUUAAUUUUUAAUACAAAUUAACUACAAUUAAAAAUUCUGGUCGUCAGGUACACGAGCCACAUUUGUAGGUCA
rnacentral:lncRNA from 1 species